rnacentral:rRNA from 1 species
UAAAGAGUUCUAUAACUCCCAAACCCAUGUGAACAUACCUAACGUUGCCUCGGCAGGUCGCACCUACCUUGUAGCACCCUACCCUGUAGGGCCUACCCGGGAGGUGCGGGUAAGCCUGCCGGCGGCCCACCAAACUCUGUUUGAUAUUGAAUUCUGAACCUAUAACUAAAUAAGUUAAAACUUUCAACAACGGAUCUCUUGGUUCUGGCAUCGAUGAAGAACGCAGCGAAAUGCGAUAAGUAAUGUGAAUUGCAGAAUUCAGUGAAUCAUCGAAUCUUUGAACGCAUAUUGCGCCCAUUAGUAUUCUAGUGGGCAGGACCGUUCGAGCGUCAUUUCAACCCUUAAGCCUUCGUUGCUUAGUGUUGGGAGCCUACGGCAACGUAGCUCCUCAAAGUUAGUGGCGGAGUUGGUUCACACUCUAGACGUAGUAAUUUUUUAUCUCGCCUAUUAGUUGGACUAAUCCCCUGCCGUAAAACCCCCAAUUUAUCAAGGUUGACCUCGAAUCGGUUCAGACAAACUCGCUAAAUUGAAGCAUCUUAGUCAGCGAAGGAAAAGAAACCAACAGGGAUUGCCCUAGUAACGGCGAGUGAAGCGGCAACAGCUCAAAUUUGAAAUCUGGCCCUCGGGUCCGAGUUGUAAUUUGUAGAGGAUGCUUUUGGCGCGGUGCCUUCCGAGUUCCCUGGAACGGGACGCCUUAGAGGGUGAGAGCCCCGUACGGUUGGACACCAAGCCUCUGUAAAGCUCCUUCGACGAGUCGAGUAGCU